GGCCCGCCCCCGCUCCCAGCAGCCUUUGCAGCCGCCUACAAUGAAAUUUGCGAAGUUUUUUCGGUUUCGGCGCCAUUUUCGAGUGGACUCGGAGUGUUGAGAAAAAACUGUGGAUCCUGGAAUUUUACUGUGGAUUUUACUGGUUUUCUGGAGUGCUCUCCCACUGAAGCAGCGGUCUGGCUCUCCAGAGUGGCUGUGCAGGAGCUGAUGUGCCUGUGUUGAGGUGAGUUGGGAAGGUAAGCUCAUGUCCCACCUGCUCCAAAAUACCUGCAGCAUCUGUGUCCCUCUGGGUAAAUGCAGUCCCUCUGACACACACGUCCCUUCUUGGUACUGCAGGUAAUACCUGGGAGAUGCUCAGGUGAACUCAAAUUACCCUGUUCAGCUGGCAAUUUCUGAUGUAAAGUUGAGUUUACAAAGCACAAACUAAGUUUGAAAGAAGCUGAAGUGGGAGAUGGGAUAAUUCAAGCAUGGAACUUUUUAUUGCAUGAAAUAUUGAUGCAGUCAUGUCAUAAACGUGCAUAUUUUCUCAGAUAUGUAUUUCACUGCCUAUCCCAAAUUUCCAGUUGCCCAGCACUUGGUGUGACUGUUGAUUUUCCCUCUGUGCUAGAGGCUGGUGGAGGUGUAUUGAACCCUUCCUUUAAAAAUCCUCCUUACUGAAAAGAGCUCUUGCCCUUGUUGAACUAGGCAAAAGUCUGGUUUAUAUAAAUAUAAAAAACAUUAAUUAAAAUGUAAACCUUAAGCCACUAUCAGAAUGGAUUCUAAAGCUGAACUUGUUUGCUGUUGCUUUUUUCUUUUGGAUUCAUUUGAAGAUAUGAAAGAAAUAAGAUUUCACAGGUAGAGUCGAGUAAAACAGCGUUGCAGAAGUAAUUAAUGGUAAUAUUUUGUGGGGGGUGUUUUGAUUUAGCUGGUACAGGCUGAACACUGGGCACGUGUUUGCUUUGCAGCAAGUAGCAGCUGCUCAUGAGGGAGUUGGCCCUGGUGCUGUCAGUGUUGAGGACACUGAAGUGGUGAAAAUAUACUGGUUUUUUGUUGGCAAAUAUUUGAUUUCAAAUUUGAAAUUGCUUGGCAUGGGUCAUGAGAGCUUUUGAGAACCCUAUUUUUAAGUUUGCUGGAGAGGCAGGGACUCGGUGGCGCGUCGGGCACGAGGGGAUGGCACAAGAAUUCAAACCCAGGGCGUCAUUUCUGACAUUGUUCAGGUUUUUUUGUGAUGCUGCUUUUUAAGAAAAUGAAUUGAAGGAAGUUGUCCCAUAACUGGUGGGGCGGGGGGGGGAAGGUUGAAAGGAAAUACAAAAAAUAUCAGUCUGUCUGCACGGCUCCUGUGCAGCCCAGGCAGGCUGGUGUGUGAGUGCCACUGGCUGCAGCCCCUCCCUGCCCUGCUCUGGUGCUUUCUGCCCUGGUACAGGCAGGAAAUGUGAUGAAGUUCCAGAGAUCUUUAAUUUCUGAUCAUAUAAGGCUUGUCCAUUCACAUGGUAAAUAAGCAUUUUAUACUCGUCUUAAAAAUAAGGAUUUUUUUAUGUUUCUCAGAAGUCAGAUUGAGCUGAAUGAAAGUAUUUUAAGCAAAAUUUAACAGGUUUCAACUGUUGGAAUAUGGAUUUAUUUAUCUGAAAUGUUAAUAUUGUGACUUCUGGAAAAUCCAUGAUGUUCAGCAUCACUUAAGAGGAAAGUACAAGGUAAUAUUUCCCCACAGACCAGUUGGAAGGGCUAUGAAGUUCUGCAGGCUCUUCACAGUAGCAAAAGCAACAGAUCUUCUAGAUCUAAAAGUGUACUAUUUGUUGGGACUCAAUACUAAGUGUGGUUUGGGGGAAACAGGUAAUUUCUGACCUUGUUUCUGAAAUUGGUUUGUUUGCACUGUAUAACUGCUUGUUCUCUUAUAGUUACAGACUGUCUGAUAGCACCUGUGAAGAAAAAACCCUGUCCUGUGGUGUUCAGGUAUGUGGAGACACGUUCUCUUGGUGCUUGUACUGUGCACAUCCUUCACAUCCCCUGGGAGCUCCUGUGUCUGGCCCUGCAGGCAGGAAGGACUUGCAGCUCCUUUUUGUUCUCCCAACACGAGCAUGACCACAUCCUAUAUAUCCACAUCCUCAGCUAUUGCUCCUUGGGCCUUUCCCAAGGAUCAGCCAAGGGACCCUUGCCCUGUGUUUGGGGAAGACAGGGGGGUCUGGAGGCCGUGGAGAGCUGUCAGCAGUGCUCUAGCAGCACGUAAAUACUGGAGUUUGGGAUUGCCUGUUGCUCUCCAGUAUUGCAUUGCUGCUUUAGUGAGGCUGGAAAUCUGUCCCUGCCGCAGGGCUCUGCCUCUUGGGGUCCCUCUGUGGCACCCCCACGGUGCCUCCCACACUGCAGGGGCUCCUGGAUCCCACCCUGAUAAACCCCACACUGCAGGGGCUCCUGGAUCCCACCCUGAUAAAUCCCACACUGCAGGGGCUCCUGGAUCCCACCCCAAUAAACCCCACACUGCAGGGGCUCCUGGAUCCCACCCUGAUAAAUCCCACACUGCAGGGGCUCCUGGAUCCCACCCCGAUAAAUCCCACACUGCAGGGGCUCCUGGCUCCCACCCCAAUGACCCCACACUGCAGGGGCUCCUGGCUCCCACCCUGAUAAACCCCACACUGCAGGGGCUCCUGGAUCCCACCCUGAUAAACCCCACACUGCAGGGGCUCCUGGAUCCCACCCUGAUAAACCCCACACUGCAGGGGCUCCUGGAUCCCACCCCGAUAAAUCCCACACUGCAGGGGCUCCUGGCUCCCACCCCAAUGACCCCACACUGCAGGGGCUCUUGGAUCCCACCCUGAUAAACCCCACACUGCAGGGACUCCGGGCUCCCACCCCAAUAAAUCCCACACUGCAGGGGCUCCUGGCUCCCACCCCAGUGACUCCCACCCCAAUAAACCACUGCGGAGGCAGCAACCAACGAGGGCUUGGUGUGGUCAAUGGGGAAGGGCAGGGGCUGCACCCCAGCACUGCUGCUGGGUGCCCACUCUCACACCUGGGGAGGGGGUGUGGGGGACAUUGGGGGUGCAAGGGUUGGUGGGGAGCAGAGAUUCAGCUGCGUGAGAGGGAGGGAUGCUCAUUGUGCCUGGGGUGCUCAUGGGGAAGCUCUGCUUUCCCCAAAUUUCUGCAGCUGUCCCUCAGGUACAGCUGGCACACUUGGGCCAUGGUGGAGAAGGUUUGGAGCACCUGAGGCUUUGCCUGCAGACCCACCACUGCAGCAGUGAUGUCCCCAGAGCCGUGCCAGCCCCUGGUGAAAGGUUUUUCCUUAGCAUUGCACCACUUGAGGCUUCCAAACCCUGCUGGAAUAGACACAAGGGCCACCACAGAGUCAGGGAUGCUCCUGGGAAGGGCUGGGGUGGUGCCUGCCUGCUCAGAUUCAUCUGCUAUGGUGUGAAUGAGCCUGUCAGUCCUGCCAGUGCUGGUGCAUCAUUAACAGCCCCAAUCCCGCAGCCUCCUGGUGGCUGUGAAGUCCAGAACAUUUGUUUUUUCAGCUAUUUUCAGGAAUUGCUAAAUCACAGCCAAUAGUUGUGGGGCAGGGGGAAAUCCUCACUGAUUUGCAGCUUCAAUCCCCACUCCUGCUCUGUGCUGUGCUGUUGGAGCAUCAGCAGGAGGAACACAAAUGUCUCUGGCAUGGGGAGCUGCAAGGGGGUUGUGAGUGAGGAGGAGCAGCUUUUAAAAGCCUCUGCCCUCAAAGGGGGCAAACUCACAAUGUUUGGGCACACAGCUGAUGCAUUCUAAACCAGACACUGGUAUUCUUCCACUUGUAAAGUGGUUCAUUUCCAUUUUCAACAAGUGAAGCCAUUAAUUUCCAAGUCCCAUACUGUUUUUCCUCAAGAAAAUAACUUGAUGAGUGACUUGGUUAACAGGGAAAUUGGUCAAUAA